UAGGGGGCGGAGCAAACACCUGGCCACACCGGCAGCUAAUCCCACAGACACCUAGUGCGUGCGCCCUGCCCAGUGAGGCUAGCGACUAUCUCAAGAGAAUAGCCAGCUGGCUGUAAACAUGGCUGAGAAUGAUCCAUCCUCAGAGCAGCAAAGGACCACAUGGACACUAAGCUCCUAAGGUUCCCCAUGCCACCAGGGAGUCCCCCUGGGGGCCAAGAUGAGGCUGAGGAGCUCCAGGAGACAGAAUGGGAGAUACUUACUAAGACACAUCAGCUUUGAGCUGCCGCCAAGCCACAUGGACCUUGGAGGUUAGGAGUGAGGGUCCCACCCUUUCCUCCCAGAAAAACACACAGCCAAUGCUCUGAGAACCGUGGGACCCUCACUGACAGGCAAUGAAGCUCCAUGACCUCAGGAACUCCAUGAGAAGAGGCAUUUCUGACUUCAUGGUGCCCUCCUUCCAGAAGAGUAUGAAAAAAUUCUGUUUUUCAAAUGUGUUGAUAAAGAGAACAGUGUGUUAAUAUUAUAUGUGAAAUAAUCUCUUUGACCUAAAUGUUCUUUUUUUUCUCUCUCUCUCCUUAAAAUGCUAAUAGUAACUGCCACCCUUGUGAGAGCAUGGUGGCAAGGGGAAGCAAAGGCAGUGGUGAGAUCUUGGAGACAAUAUAGGUGAGGAAUAGAACAUGGGGGUAUCGUGAUCCACAUGGGAAGCGAGACACACAGCGUAAGUGUGUGGGGAAGACUGACAGGCCAGUGUGUGACCCAUGGAGGGGGUCAGUCCCUGAGACUUGCUUCCACACAAGUGCUCCUACCUAUGUCUAUCCUGUGACCCAAGGCAGACCCAUGGCUACUUCUACAGUGAGUUAUCAAUUGGAAGACUGCUUCCCUGACCCUAUGGCUGGCUGGCUGUUUGUGCUGGGCCCUGUGUUCCCUUCUUCCUCAGCACCACCGCUGCGUCUCAGGUGUUCCCUGAACACCUGCUCAAGUCCACCCCAACUGUGAUACUUCAGUGGCACCUUAAACCUACUCAUUCAGACAUGAUCGUGUCUACCCAUGACUGCGGC
rnacentral:lncRNA from 1 species